GUGUCAGCAGCCGCGGUAAUACGUAGGGGGCGAGCGUUGUCCGGAAUCAUUGGGCGUAAAGAGCGUGUAGGCGGCCCGAUAAGUCCGUUGUGAAAGUCCAAGGCUCAACCUUGGAAUGCCGAUGGAUACUGUCGGGCUAGAGUCCGGAAGAGGCAAGUGGAAUUCCUGGUGUAGCGGUGAAAUGCGCAGAUAUCAGGAGGAACACCGAUAGCGAAGGCAGCUUGCUGGGACGGUACUGACGCUGAGACGCGAAAGCGUGGGGAGCAAACAGGAUUAGAAACCCUGGUAGUCC
rnacentral:rRNA from 1 species